rnacentral:rRNA from 1 species
UGCAGUCGAACGGAAGGCCCUUCGGGGUACUCGAGUGGCGAACGGGUGAGUAACACGUGGGUGAUCUGCCCUGCACUUUGGGAUAAGCCUGGGAAACUGGGUCUAAUACCGGAUAGGACCACGCGCUUCAUGGUGUGUGGUGGAAAGCUUUUGCGGUGUGGGAUGGGCCCGCGGCCUAUCAGCUUGUUGGUGGGGUAAUGGCCUACCAAGGCGACGACGGGUAGCCGGCCUGAGAGGGUGACCGGCCACACUGGGACUGAGAUACGGCCCAGACUCCUACGGGAGGCAGCAGUGGGGAAUAUUGCACAAUGGGCGCAAGCCUGAUGCAGCGACGCCGCGUGAGGGAUGACGGCCUUCGGGUUGUAAACCUCUUUCAAUAGGGACGAAGCGCAAGUGACGGUACCUAUAGAAGAAGGACCGGCCAACUACGUGCCAGCAGCCGCGGUAAUACGUAGGGUCCGAGCGUUGUCCGGAAUUACUGGGCGUAAAGAGCUCGUAGGUGGUUUGUCGCGUUGUUCGUGAAAACUCACAGCUUAACUGUGGGCGUGCGGGCGAUACGGGCAGACUAGAGUACUGCAGGGGAGACUGGAAUUCCUGGUGUAGCGGUGGAAUGCGCAGAUAUCAGGAGGAACACCGGUGGCGAAGGCGGGUCUCUGGGCAGUAACUGACGCUGAGGAGCGAAAGCGUGGGGAGCGAACAGGAUUAGAUACCCUGGUAGUCCACGCCGUAAACGGUGGGUACUAGGUGUGGGUUUCCUUCCUUGGGAUCCGUGCCGUAGCUAACGCAUUAA